UCCCCCCUCCGCGCCUUCCCCGACGCCGCGCCCCUCCCGGUGAGCGCGGCCCCCCGAGAGCGCCGCCAGCAGGGUGGGCGAGGGGGGGGCGCCCGUCCCGGGGGGGCCGCGGCGGAGGCGGGGGUCUCACGGUGUGGCCCCCCGUUCGUCCCCCUCCCCGUUCCCCCCUUCCAGCAGUGGUCGCGCCCGGCCGGCGGGUCACGUGGCGGCGGGUGCUGUCGGUGACGUGGGGGGCGCGCGGGCGCGGAGCAGCGCGCGCGGCGCGGACCGAGCAGCGGCGGCGGCGGCGGGAGAGGAAAACGGGGGGUCCCGGGCACGGCUCCGGGCGGUGCAAACACACAUCACACCCCCCUGCCGCCGCCAGCCUCCGCUUCUGGGGGUGGUUUUUUUUGUUUGAUUUUUUUUUUGCUUUUUUUUUUUUUAUUUUAUUUUUCUCCCAAACCUCUCCGAAAACGAAGAAAUCUUGGAAAAAAAAUCGCGCCUUUUAUUUAUAUAUAUAUAUAUAUACAUAUAUAUGUAUGUAUAUUUAAUUAUAAUUUAUUUAUUUUAUUAUUUAUUUUGGGGAGGGGGGUCACUUUCGCCUUUCUAAAACACCCUCCCCCCUCUAAAAAAUACCCCAAACCAACCAAACAACCCAGCGAGCAAAGCCAGGAGCCAGCUGCAUUGUUCUGGAUUUUUACUUCUUUUUCUUUUAAUUUUUUUUUUUCCCGCAUUCAGCUUCUUUUUAAAAUAAUUUUUUUGCAGACAGCCACACUCGGCUCACGGCCUCCAAUGGGAUUUACUGUUGGGGAAAGAAGCUUUUUCCUUAAAGACAGUUCCUCAUGAACUCCCCAUAUUCACUUUUGGUUUUAUUUUUAAUUUUUUUUUCUUUUUUAUUUCUUUGCCAGAAUUCUCCAGACUAAAAAAAAAAAUAUACAAAAACAUUCUGAUGAUUUUUUUCUUCUUUUAUUUUUUUUCCAUCCGUGUUCUCUUUUCCUUUCCAGGACACUCAAGUGGUGGGUUAAUUCUGUGUAGCUGUUUUGUUAUUGUUGCAAAAUAACCUGUAAGUCUAUAAAUAUUCUGUUUGUAUGGAAUUGUUGUACUGUGCUGGGGAUGCGAAAUCGCUUUGGCUUUUCUGGAGAGGGAUUUUAUUUCUGCACUUUUUGCGUCUUGCUGGGAAAAGGCCUUUGCUGGGAGCUGGGAGGGGGGAAUAAUGCAAAGCCUUGCAGUCAGUGUCUCGGGUGGGUUUCGCAGGGGGUGCAGAGGAGGGGACUGUCACCCCAACUUCCCCUCUCCCCUGUGGAGAUGCAGCUCCGCGGAUGUAAAUCUAUGGAGAUUCCUGUGACUGUCCCCCAGCCUGGAGUGUUUAUUCUUUGGGGGCCUGCAGCAGGGCUUGGGUUUAGGGGUGGUUCAGGUCGCUCAUUUCGCUUUCCCGGUCGGGUUUUUGGGCUGCGAGCUGCCGCUCGGGGUGGUGGGGAGCGGGUGAAGGCACGCUCUGCGCUCUGAAGGCAUUCCCGGGCCCUGGUGAUUAAUAGAAAUUUGUUUACGAGAAUAACCACCGCAGGUCACGGUGCCCUCGGUCCACUGGUGCAGUUGCUCGGAGCUACUGAUUCCAGCACUGGCGAGCCCGCGGAGCGGCCGCCUUGGACGCAAAGUGGCCGGGUUCUGCCUUUAUUUUGAUUUCUCAGCUGAGCUCUUGAACCGAAACAUUUUAAAGCAAGGAGAUGGGGGGGGGGGGGGGGGUGGUGUAAUAAAUUAGGAAGAAAGCCCUUCUGCUAAUACGACAAGCAAGACAGGGAUGGUACUCCCGAGGCACUUGAGGUGGUACAGAUAUGCUGGAGAGACGGCUUCCCUGUAGCUAAAACGCAAUACGGGAUUCCCAGGGAGUGAGUGCAGCUGGAGCUGUGUGACUUGUGCGACUCCGAUCCCGGCCCCGGGCAGGGAGGGGGCUCCCGGGUCUGCAGGUGACCGAAGGAGGAUCGGACCCAAGAGUAGCCACUCUGUUCCGGGAUUUUGGGUCUUGUUUUUUUUUUUUUUUUUUUCUUUUUCCCCAGCCAUGAAACCCAAAGGAAGGGGUGGUGUUGGAGGCGACGGAUCUGUUCUGUUUGUCAUUUCUCCGCAGCGUGUGACGCUUUCGCUUUAGCCGGAGCCCAGCGAGCCCAGCGGCCGCGGGACGCUCGGGAGCAGCAGCGGCAGGGCUGCCGCUUGGGGGGUUUUUGGUGGGGUCCCGAGGUCGAGCCCAGCUUCCGUUCAAGUAGCACUCCGACGGGAGAGAUUUCUCACUCUGCCUGGCCACAGCCAAGCCGGGCUUGCAUCAGAGUUUCCAUCCUAACCCGCCUCGUUGCGGGGACAUAGGGAGCAGCCAGCAGCAUCCCUUUCAGACUGGGAGCUGAGCGGCCUGGGCGCCUUUGCUGAGUUUUUGGCCUUUCUGCUCUGGUGUCAUACCUUCUACUCCCUCGCUGUCACUCAGGGCCCGGCUGCAGCUACCCACGGGCUCUUACCACCCGCCUCUGCUCCCCACUGCUUCCUGCUGCCCCAAAAGCAGCAGCAGUCCCUGUGCUGCCUCGCUGGGGACUUCAGGGUGCUGGGGAUGGAGUCAUUUUUCUGGGAGCCAUCUCCCACCAUUGGCCAGAGGGAUCCUUGCUGAGUGAGGCCUUUGACACCCUCUUCAUUUAUGCGUCCCAGUUCUGGGGACGAGCACGGCUGCCGCUGGCAGUGGUGGUGGCUGCCAGGGUGGCAAUGUCCCGCUGGGACAGCUUCCCCUGCCUCCGCAAGCCGACAGCAAGUGUUUUCUCUUUGGGGGAGAACGGCGGCCCCGUGGUGGGGAGGGCUGCUGGUGGGAGUGUGCAAAGCCACCGGCAGUCCCAUGUCGGCUGCGGGACGUUCCUCAGCGGCCCCGGGCUCGGUGUGUCUCCUGCACACCCACGAGGUGCCCGUGCUGCACGUGGAGGAGCAGCAGCUCGGCCCUGCAUGUGGGAGGCUGUGGCAAUCCUGCUCGGGGGUCAGCCCCACGCACCCCUCUCUCAAAAACACCCUCUACGCUGCAGAGAGCUCCUCACCCAGGCAAGGGUUUGAACCCCCAAGUGCCACCCCUGAAAGUGGUUGGCAGUGCUGGAACAGGGGUGAUGCUGCUGGGAAAUUGUCCCCCUUGGAGUUGGCAGGGGUAUUUCUGGCCAUGCAGGAGCGGCUCCAAGGAGCAGGGGCAGAGGCAGGAGCAUUGCCACAGGUGCCUUGCACCCUCCCACAGACUGUCCCUCUGCAGCUUCUUCAUCUCCUCCCCUGGCAAAGCUCCUGGGAUGAAAAACAACCCCUCUGCCUGUGUGCUGGCAUGCAGCACACAGAGCAGUGUGAAAUUAUUCAGCCGUCCCUGGGAGCUGCAGUUGGAUGUUGAAGGGCCUGGGAGCUGGAGGUGCUACUUGGCAGCGAGGGGAGUCCCCGGGCUUGGGUCGUUUCCCCCCAGGGGACACAGAGCAGGUUUUUAUGGUAUAUCGAGGCCAGGGCGUAUUUUUCCCAGGUGAACCGCACCCCUGGAAAGAAAUGCCUUGUCUUCUACAAAACACUGCUUAAAUAAACAGUACCCCACUAUAAUUUUUUCUUUAGAAAUUAACUCCUUCAGGCCAUAAGGCUUCCCCAUCCUCACACAAAAAUAGCUGCUAGGACUUAUAAAGGGAAAAUAAAAAUAUGUCUAAGAGAGAAAAGUUUAGCCUGACAGAAGAGAGCCUAUGAACCUCUCCCCUUCCCCGUGGUCCUCGAGGAUGAGUUUUGGAAGCAGCCUGCCCGUUUUGGAGCUGGGUGCCACUGCAUGAACGUUACUUUAAAGGAGUUUUGUGCAUAUUAAUGUGAAUGCAGCGAGGCCAGGCUGCGCAGGGACAGCAGAGUCCCUGCCUGAAUUCAGCUAUCUUGUUUUCUAAUCUAACCUACUUUUUUUCUUUUACUUUUUUUUUUUUUUUUUUUGGUCAGAGGCCGGUGCUUUGCAAGAACCUGUUCUCAGUGCAAUCUCAGAGCUUUUUGUGGGUGUCUGAUUUCUGUAACACGUUUUGGUUUCCAGUAUGAAUGUAAUGUACAGAGAACAUCAUGACACUGCUCUAGGUGUAUGUGAUCUUAUCUACCUGACAUUUAAGGUUUUUUUAAACCGUCCAAUUCAUCUGAUUUGCAUAAAGAUCACAUGAUUUUACUUUUUUUCCUCCUUUUUUUUCAUGCAUCAUCAUAACAAACUGCUAAGGUUUACCAGGCUGUUUUGUAUCUGGCAGCAUGAACAUGGGGCCUGUUUCUCUCGUCUUCAUUCCUCCCUGGUGAAGGUUGGGGAUGGGAAAGGUGGCACUUGGAGGGGACUUGUGAUCCCAGCCAGCCACUGAAAUCCUUAAUAAACAAAUGUGUACAGUUUAACUUCCCAGAAAACAAAGCAGCUGAGCAUGCAUGCCAUGCAGUUGUUGUUAAUUUAAAUAGUUGAGACUUCUUUUUAUUGAUAAGGAAACUCCUCUGGAACAGCCCCCCGGAUCCCAGCAGGCUCCCCCUGCCGCAGCCGUCCUCAUUACAAAACAAGGCCGCAAUUAAAAUAAACUCCAAGAGCUAAACAAACUGCUGCCUCUUGCUGGUCAUGUGUUAGCUUUAGCCUUUAACGCAGAACAAAAUGUUUUCCUGGGUAUCGGAAGAGGCAUGGGCUCCAGCUGGGAGGAGAAGAGAGAGCAGCAGCUGGGCCUAUGGGAAUGGCAGGGAGUGGGGUGCUGCAAUGCUCAUCGGGGCUCCUUUCUCUUGCUUUCUUUUUAUUUUUUAUUGUUGUAAAUUUGAUGUUUGUGAUCUAACUCGGUCUUUACUGCAAGGGAAAGGGCUGGAAGUGGAAAAACUUGAAUGUUGUGGUAAAACCUGGCUGUCCCAGCACACCCUGGGCACAUCUGACUGUACCUCACCCAGCCUGGCUCCCACUGAGCCCACCAGCCACAAGCCCCUGGCCCAAUAUGUUUUAAUUCCUUCACGUCUUGUGCUGAGGCUUUAGGUGGAUGCAAAUACCACUUGGCAUCUGCCAGCAUCUGGAUGGGCACUGGGAAGGGAAGCACAGGGUGCCCUGGAGGACAGGACCAGGGGGAUGAGGAGAUGGAUGGAGGGAAGGGCAGCCAGGGGCUCCCGUAUGUGGAGGGGUGUGUGGCUGGCUGGCCCUCAAUGCCUCCAUGCCAUGCCAUGGCUCCCCACACGGCCUGAGAAUACAUUUUAACCCCUGUGCCAUGUCCACGUGUCCUCUUUGGGGUAAUGAAUUGCACUCAGAUGAAUACUCUGCAAGAAGAGCUGCUCUGAUGAUGGAGGGGUGCACAUCCAUGCUGUGUUCACGUCAACCCCCAGGAUAAUAUUCUGGCAAAAUUGCCCAAAUAACUGGCAUGUCUGCUUGGUGCUUGCUGCCAGGAGACAGUGUAGACUUGCCUGUCAAAAAUUACUUUCUUGCCACAGAGGAGCAAGAUAUCUGCCUGUCUCCUGUCUGAUCUCCCAAACUGGCUGAGUGUAAACAGCAGUUCUCGGAAGGUGGGUAAGGACAUUCCACUCAGCACUUACAGCCCCACCGUCAGUUCUGCCCCAUAUUAGAUUUAAAAGAGAAACUUCAUUGAGAAGUUUUCAAGCUGCAGAUAAUUACCUCCCACCCCCACCCCAGACCCAGCUGAUUUUUAACCAGUUAUGGACCUAAGCCUGUCUGUGCCUCAGUGAGGCUGUGCCGGGCAAGGAGCCUCCUGCCAGGGGACGUGGUGGGGGAGCCUUCACCGGAUCAGCAUCCCCAGCCCAAUCCCUUGCUUGUCCCCAAAUCUCGUCAUCCUGGCACCCACCAAACUGAAGUGUGUGACCAGUGGAAGCUGAAAAUCCCUGGCCCGUGGCUGAGCAGCACUAUUGACCUCUUUCUUUCCAGCAGACCUGUCAGCGUUCAGAUGUUACAAUGAAAAAAACCUCACUAACCUCUACAGAUACUGCUCUGAUUAGGAAUUGUGCUGAGGUACUUCAAACCCAAUGUUCUCAUCGGCUCUUCUGAAUUUUGCAAUUCAUUUGUCGUUCCUUCUACUUCAAUAAAAACACUUUUCAUCAGAAAACUUGAUACUUUUUUCCUUCCGAGCCUCCCUGCAAAUUGCCUCUCUCCCUCCAGACAAGUUUCGAGGAUCAACAAGUUAACCUGAAAGAUUACAAAGGUACAAGUGGGCUGCUUGAGAGGUGAAUCAUUAAACGUAAGGUGAAGUAUACGGCUGCAGAAGGUUUCAAUUAAAGUGACAGUCGAGGCAGCCUUUGCUUGCCUGGGAAGGUUCGGUUUUAUCGUCAGAGCCGUGCUGGGAGCUGCGUCCAUCCCGGGCAGGGAGGUUUGGUUCCAGUGCCUGCAUUCUGCAUUCCCAGGUCUGCUGCUGCCCCAGUCCUCACUCCUGAAGCAACUCCACUGGUUUCAGCAUGAUAAAUUCGACUGUGACAGCAUUAAAAUAUGGGAAAGGAGCCAAAUCUCCUUUAUAUCCCCAUUCAGGCUGGAAUCAAGGAGCCUGCCUCGGAACUGCCUUCACCCAAUGCUCCCGUUGCCACGUCCUGAGGAAGAGCAGGAUCAGGCCCACAACCUUCCCCAUUCCUUCCCCAAAUCCUGCUCGCUCCUACUUAUUUUUAAUGUUUUUAAAGUAGUUUUGUUUUAAUAUUACAGUAUAUUUAAUGAGCAGCCCCAGGGUGGAGGGAGAAAUGUGAGAUCCUUGCCGUGUGGUGGAAAACCUGCCCUGCUGCUGCCUUGUCCCCACAUCCCCGCGUCUGCUCGGCAUGGGGCACCCCCGUUCUCCUGCCAAACGUCUCAUGGGUGCCCAGGGACUGUUUGCCCUGACACAGAGCCUGUGUCCAUGCACAGAGGGUAAUGCACAGACAACCAGUCCACGGGCAGCUGCCCUGCAUGGAGGUCCCGCAUGCUUGGAAGGAGUACGUGCAAUGCUGGGCUUUUUUUCCCUGGCUUUUUGGAGUACAGACAGCACGGUGGUGAGGCAGGAGGUAGAAAGGGGGCAGGCUAGAUAUUGUCCUGACAUGGAGCAAUGCUGUGACGUUUUGUGGCACUUUACUGAUUUAAAUUUUAAGUAUUUCUGAGUUUUACAUUUUGCUCUGACAUAUUUCCAUAUGGCAGCCCCGAGUGUGGAUGACAUCCUCUUCACAAGGAUGCUCCAGCGAUUGGGUUAAUUCCCUCCUACUAAUUCCUUACAUAAUCAUGUGGGCUCAGAUCCUCAAAAGUAUUUGUGUGCCUGCCUCCCUUGGAAAUCAGAGAGUUUAAUUGUCUGCUAAAAUUAUUGUUUUGUUUUGAAAGCAGAGCAGGAAAUAAACUUGGAUUUUAUGA